rnacentral:rRNA from 1 species
UACGUAGGGUGCAAGCGUUAUCCGGAAUUAUUGGGCGUAAAGAGCUCGUAGGUGGUUUGUCGCGUUGUUCGUGAAAACUCACAGCUCAACUGUGGGCGUGCGGGCGAUACGGGCAGACUAGAGUACUGCAGGGGAGACUGGAAUUCCUGGUGUAGCGGUGGAAUGCGCAGAUAUCAGGAGGAACACCGGUGGCGAAGGCGGCGAUCUGGGUCGAUACUGACGCUGAGGUGCGAAAGCGUGGGGAGCAAACAGG